rnacentral:snRNA from 3 species
GUAUCCCCAGGUUCUCACACAUAUACUAAAAUUGGAAUGAAACAGAAGAUUAGCAUGGCUCCUGUGCAAGGAUGACACUCAAAUCUGUGAAAUGUUCCAUAUUUUU